rnacentral:lncRNA from 10 species
AUGCAAUGAGGCUUUGCCUAGAAAUGCUGAGCUAAAGAUCUUCACUUUCUAUGCAGGUUUUGAAGCCAGGAGCCCCUCUUCUUGAGAUCUAUUGGCAACCAUCUUGUGAAGGAAGAGCCCAUUGUGUAGGAGGCAGAUGCUGGAGAAAAAGAGACAACAGGGCCGGGUUUUAUCAUUUGAGACUUGAGUAAAGUCAUACCGGAAGUCACACCCAGUCUACCCUGGGAAGCUUGGUUACAAGGGCCAGUAAAUUCCCUUUUCUUUUCUUUUCUUUUCUUUUUUUUCUUUUUUUUUUUUAAGAGAUGGGGGUCUUACUCUGUUUCCCAGGUUACUCUCGAACUCCUGGCCUGAAGCCCCCUGUCUCUGCCUCCCAAAGUUCUGGGAUUACAGGCUUGAGCUACUGUGCCUGACUAAAUUCCCUUUUUGAUUAAGCCUGUUUAGAUUAGGUUUCUUGUCAACCUGCAACUGAAAGAAUUAUCGCCAAUACAAGGUACAAAGUCCUGAAAGGCAGCUGAUCAGAAGGACCCAUUUUAUCUGCCACCACGUGUUUUUGGACAGUGUGCUCAGUUUGGGAUGUAACUUUGGCUUCUGCUCCUACAAGAGAUGCUGCCGUGAAUAACUGCUCACGUACAUCCUUCCAUACGUGUGCAGACGCCUCUGGAGGAUCAGUUCCCAGAAGCACCACCCCACCUUUUAUUGCUAGCAAACUGUUAAUCACCCACUGACACCCA